UCCGUAGUAGUCUAACGGCUAGGAUAUCACGCUCUCACCGUGGGGGUCGGGGUUCGAUUCCCCGCUAUGGAA
rnacentral:tRNA from 3 species